rnacentral:ncRNA from 2 species
CAGAAUUUUUGUUUACAAGGUGAAGAUCAGUUAGUAGCGAUCUUCUUAAAAGGGAAGUGAAGCCCAAACUCACGCUGCCCCCGCAACGGUAAAUAACCCUAAGGCGCCUCAAAACCACUGGCUAAUGCAUAGCUGGGAAGGGAGGACACCGCCUGUUAUAGCCCGGAGACCUGCCUUGUAGCCGUUGAUAGA